rnacentral:rRNA from 1 species
AGGAUCAUUACCGAGUGAGGGCCCUCUGGGUCCAACCUCCCCACCCGUGUCUAUCGUACCUUGUUGCUUCGGCGGGCCCGCCGUUUCGACGGCCGCCGGGGAGGCCUCGCGCCCCCGGGCCCGCGCCCGCCGAAGACCCCAACAUGAACUCUGUUCUGAAAGUAUGCAGUCUGAGUUGAUUAUCAUAAUCAGUUAAAACUUUCAACAACGGAUCUCUUGGUUCCGGCAUCGAUGAAGAACGCAGCGAAAUGCGAUAAGUAAUGUGAAUUGCAGAAUUCAGUGAAUCAUCGAGUCUUUGAACGCACAUUGCGCCCCCUGGUAUUCCGGGGGGCAUGCCUGUCCGAGCGUCAUUGCUGCCCUCAAGCACGGCUUGUGUGUUGGGCCCCCGUCCCCGGUUUCCCCCGGGGACGGGCCCGAAAGGCAGCGGCGGCACCGCGUCCGGUCCUCGAGCGUAUGGGGCUUUGUCACCCGCUCUGUAGGCCCGGCCGGCGCCAGCCGACACCCAACUUUAUUUCUAAGGUUGACCUCGGAUCAGGUAGGGAUACCCGCUGAACUUAAGCAUAUCAAUAAGCCGGAAGAAUCAUUACCGAGUGAGGGCCCUCUGGGUCAACCUCCCACCGGGUCUAUCGUACCUUGUUUGCUUCGGCGGGCCCCCUUUUUCAACGCCGCGGAAAACUCCUCCCCGGGCCGCGCCGCCGAAGACCCAACAUGAACUCUGUUUCUGAAAAGAUAUGCCGCUCUGGAGUUUGGAUUUAUUCAUAAACUCGGUUUUAAAAACUUUUCACAACGGGAAAUCUCUUUGGGUUUCCGGCCAUCCGAUUGAAAAAAAACGCCGCCGAAAAAUGGCGAAUUAAAGAUAAAUGGGGGAAAAUUUGGCAAAAAAUUUCGGGGGGAAAAACCCCCGAAGCUUCUUUUUAAAACCCCACAUUGGGCCCCCCCGGGGGGAAUUUUCCGGGGGGGGGGGGAGGGGCUUGUUCCCAAAAAACCUUUUUUUUGUUUUCCCCCCAAAAACAGGGUUUUUUUUUGUUUUUUUUUUGGGGGGCCCCCCCC